rnacentral:rRNA from 1 species
UAGGGAAUCUUCCGCAAUGGGCGAAAGCCUGACGGAGCAACGCCGCGUGAGUGAUGAAGGUCUUCGGAUCGUAAAACUCUGUUAUUAGGGAAGAACAAAUGUGUAAGUAACUAUGCACGUCUUGACGGUACCUAAUCAGAAAGCCACGGCUAACUACGUGCCAGCAGCCGCGGUAAUACGUAGGUGGCAAGCGUUAUCCGGUAUUAUUGGGCGUAAAGCGCGCGUAGGCGGUUUUUUAAGUCUGAUGUGAAAGCCCACGGCUCAACCGUGGAGGGUCAUUGGAAACUGGAAAACUUGAGUGCAGAAGAGGAAAGUGGAAUUCCAUGUGUAGCGGUGAAAUGCGCAGAGAUAUGGAGGAACACCAGUGGCGAAGGCGACUUUCUGGUCUGUAACUGACGCUGAUGUGCGAAAGCGUGGGGAUCAAACAGG